CCUACGGGGGGCAGCAGUGGGGAAUAUUGCACAAUGGGCGCAAGCCUGAUGCAGCCAUGCCGCGUGUGUGAAGAAGGCCUUCGGGUUGUAAAGCACUUUCAGCGGGGAGGAAGGCGGUGAGGUUAAUAACCUCAUCGAUUGACGUUACCCGCAGAAGAAGCACCGGCUAACUCCGUGCCAGCAGCCGCGGUAAUACGGAGGGUGCAAGCGUUAAUCGGAAUUACUGGGCGUAAAGCGCACGCAGGCGGUCUGUCAAGUCGGAUGUGAAAUCCCCGGGCUCAACCUGGGAACUGCAUUCGAAACUGGCAGGCUAGAGUCUUGUAGAGGGGGGUAGAAUUCCAGGUGUAGCGGUGAAAUGCGUAGAGAUCUGGAGGAAUACCGGUGGCGAAGGCGGCCCCCUGGACAAAGACUGACGCUCAGGUGCGAAAGCGUGGGGAGCAAACAGGUUUAGAUACCCCGGUAGUC
rnacentral:rRNA from 1 species